UGAUACUACUCAGCCCCAGGUUACAGACAGCUAUGAGUGACUGUGGAGGUGCCAGGAGUGGAACCUGGUCCUCCGGCAAGAAUAAGUGCUCUUAACUGCUGAACCAUCUCUCCAGCACCCACCCAUGCAUUCUUCAUGAUGAUGAAAUAUUCUGUGGUAUAGACACAGCUAAAAGAAAUCCCCUUUGUGGUUGUUUCCUAUAACAAAUACUCAAUUGAGUAUGUUCAUUCACACUUCAAGUUACUUGUACUAUUUUUUAAUAUAUGCUGGGGCCUGGGGGGACGGCAGGAUGGCAUUGAGGCACUGUCUCUCUACGUAGCUCUGGCUGUCCUAGAACUCACUCUGUAGACCACUCUGGGCUCACCGAGAUCUGCCUGAGUCUUCUCUGGACCAAGUGCUGGGAUUGCCUGCUUAUUUUUAUCUUUAAUGUGUAUAUUUGUGUUUAUAUUGAUUUUUAUACAUUGGGACCCCUGGAGCUACAGUUACUGAGUGCUGGAAACUGACCUUGGAGUGGUCCCAAGAGCAUAAGCACUCUAAAUCGUUACAUUGUUUCUCUCGUCCCUACUUGUUUAAUGUCUUAAAUAUGUAUCCAUUCCUCUGAAUCCAGGAACCUCGCUCAACCAUUCGGAAGUUAAGUGAAUUCCUGGGGCGCACCCUGGGGCCAAAGGAAGAGGAGAUCAUACUGGAACACAGCAGCUUCUCCUUCAUGAGUCAGAGUAACAUGGUCAACUACAGCCUUUUAUCCAAGGAGAUCAUAGACCAGAGUCAGGGCAAGUUCCUCCGGAAAGGUAGGCCUUCCUGGCCCAACCUGGGAUCAGUCUACCCUUAUCUUUUGUUUGUAUGUUUUGGUUUUGGUUUUGAGAAAGGUCUCUACGCAGUCCUAGCUGUCUUGGAGCUGGCUAUGUAGACCAGGCUGGCCUCAAACUCAUGGAGAUCUUUAUGCUUCUGCCUUCCGAGUGCUGAGAUUAAAGGCGUUCGCCACUACUCCUGGCAGCAUCUGAUUAUAGCCCCUAG
rnacentral:lncRNA from 1 species